rnacentral:tRNA from 1 species
GCGGUUCUAGCCCAACCGGGAGAGGCACUUGGUCGAGGGCCAAGCCAGUCGGGGUUCGACUCCCCGGAACCGCA